CCCGUUCACCACGGGAGUCCGGUGCGCCGGGCUGAGAGGAAGGCGCGCGAGCCUUCGACCGUCCACACCUGAUCCGGGUCAUGCCGGUGUAGGGAGAGAUGAUGUUUCGAC
rnacentral:ncRNA from 2 species